AAUUGGGAUUGUUAGAAAGAAGGAUCAACAAGACUUAUUUUUUGGAAGGAGGGAAUAAAAGAAGGAUGUAAUGUGACUUCUGCACUUCCAGCAUGGGAGAAUGGAUAGAUGAUAAUAUCAUUGUCUAACAGAGAAGGCAGAGAGGAAAAGUAGAUUUGGUGUUGACACUUUGGAUGUAUGGUGUUGUGGGACAAAGGAGACUGUUCAUUAAGCCAUUGGAAAUGUCUACAGUUUAGCCGGAGCCACUCACGUACGGGUCACCAGACUCUAGAUGAUUCUAAUCAUGUGAGCAGAUGGGAUGGCUCUGUGCUGUGAUGCAGAAUGGAAAGAAUGCUGAAGGCAGAGAAGGAUCAAGUUCCAGAAAAAAACAGAGAGGAAAAGAGGGAGCGAGACAGGGAGGAAAGAUAGGAAUGCACUUUGCAGGCUACGUCAGAAAUAAGUGAGUGUGAGAGAAAUGAGGUUUGAAAUGUCAGAGGUAGAAGCCAAUCUGUGGGAAAUUUUUUAAUCAUCGUACACACAUUUUUGUAAGUAGAGGAUCUGGUUUUUAUCAAUUCUCGUCUGACUAUAGCUGAUUAUACAUGUAACAUGCAAUUAUUCAUGGACUAUAACUUUUUCAUGGCAAUCGUCUGAAAUACAAUUUAUCAGGAUUCUUGCAUUUGAAGGCGUUAAGUUUGCUGCAGUACUAUAGCCAUGAGUAUGUUUGUGCAGUUGCUCACGUCUGUAAUCCUAAGCUCUUUGGGAGGCCAAGGUGGGAGGAUCCACAGAGCCUAGGAAUUCAAGGCUGCAGUGAGCUACGGUCAUGCCACUGCACUCCAGCCUGGGCAACAGAGCAAGAUCUCACCUCUAAAAAAUGAAAACUAAUUAAAAAGAUAAAUUAAAAGAUUAUCUUUUUUGGAUUUUGUGAUAUUUGUGGUAUUUGUCAACUUUUAAUACUUUAUAUUUCUAAAUGAUUUUUCCAUUGAAUUAUCUGCUUUAGUUUCUUAUUUUUACUUGUGAUUUUCUAUCGUCUUCUUACAGAGCACUCCAGUGUGUAUGAGUCUUGAGCCUCAUCCCACAUAUUUCGAGCCCCUGCCUGCUCACUUCUCAGCUCUGGCUCUCAGAG
rnacentral:lncRNA from 1 species